rnacentral:rRNA from 1 species
GGUUAAGCGACUAAGCGUACACGGUGGAUGCCCUGGCAGUCAGAGGCGAUGAAGGACGUGCUAAUCUGCGAUAAGCGUCGGUAAGGUGAUAUGAACCGUUAUAACCGGCGAUUUCCGAAUGGGGAAACCCAGUGUGAUUCGUCACACUAUCAUUAACUGAAUCCAUAGGUUAAUGAGGCGAACCGGGGGAACUGAAACAUCUAAGUACCCCGAGGAAAAGAAAUCAACCGAGAUUCCCCCAGUAGCGGCGAGCGAACGGGGAGCAGCCCAGAGCCUGAAUCAGUGUGUGUGUUAGUGGAAGCGUCUGGAAAGGCGUGCGAUACAGGGUGACAGCCCCGUACACAAAAAUGCACAUACUGUGAGCUCGAUGAGUAGGGCGGGACACGUGGUAUCCUGUCUGAAUAUGGGGGGACCAUCCUCCAAGGCUAAAUACUCCUGACUGACCGAUAGUGAACCAGUACCGUGAGGGAAAGGCGAAAAGAACCCCGGCGAGGGGAGUGAAAAAGAACCUGAAACCGUGUACGUACAAGCAGUGGGAGCACGCUUAGGCGUGUGACUGCGUACCUUUUGUAUAAUGGGUCAGCGACUUAUAUUCUGUAGCAAGGUUAACCGAAUAGGGGAGCCGAAGGGAAACCGAGUCUUAACUGGGCGUUAAGUUGCAGGGUAUAGACCCGAAACCCGGUGAUCUAGCCAUGGGCAGGUUGAAGGUUGGGUAACACUAACUGGAGGACCGAACCGACUAAUGUUGAAAAAUUAGCGGAUGACUUGUGGCUGGGGGUGAAAGGCCAAUCAAACCGGGAGAUAGCUGGUUCUCCCCGAAAGCUAUUUAGGUAGCGCCUCGUGAAUUCAUCUCCGGGGGUAGAGCACUGUUUCGGCAAGGGGGUCAUCCCGACUUACCAACCCGAUGCAAACUGCGAAUACCGGAGAAUGUUAUCACGGGAGACACACGGCGGGUGCUAACGUCCGUCGUGAAGAGGGAAACAACCCAGA